rnacentral:rRNA from 1 species
UCCUCCCUCUUUCUUCGUGCUUAACACAUGCAAGUCGAACGGAAAGGCCCUGCUUUUGUGGGGUGCUCGAUUGGCGAACGGGUGAGUAACACGUGAGUAACCUGCCCUUGACUUUGGGAUAACUUCAGGAAACUGGGGCUAAUACCGGAUAGGAGCUCCUGCUGCAUGGUGGGGGUUGGAAAGUUUCGGCGGUUGGGGAUGGACUCGCGGCUUAUCAGCUUGUUGGUGGGGUAGUGGCUUACCAAGGCUUUGACGGGUAGCCGGCCUGAGAGGGUGACCGGCCACAUUGGGACUGAGAUACGGCCCAGACUCCUACGGGAGGCAGCAGUGGGGAAUAUUGCACAAUGGGCGGAAGCCUGAUGCAGCAACGCCGCGUGCGGGAUGACGGCCUUCGGGUUGUAAACCGCUUUCGCCUGUGACGACGCGUGAGUGACGGUAAUGGGUAAAGAAGCACCGGCUAACUACGUG